GCCUAGGGGGAUUACCUAGUGGGGAGGUAAGGCUCACCAAGGGAACGAUCCCUAGCUGUUUGGAAGGAAGAUCAGCCCCACUGGAACUGAGACCCGUUCAGACUCCUACGGGAGGCAGCAGGGGGAAUUUUGCACAAUGGGGGCAAGCCUGAUGCAGCCAUGCCGCGGGUUGAAGAAGGCCUUCGGGUUGUAAAGUACUUUCAGUCGUGAGGAAGGUGGUGUCGUUAAUAGCGGCAUUGUUUGACGUUAGCGACAGAAGAAGCACCGGCUAACUCCGUGCCAGCAGCCGCGGUAAUACGGAGGGUGCGAGCGUUAAUCGGAAUUACUGGGCGUAAAGCGCAUGCAGGUGGUUUGUUAAGUCAGAUGUGAAAGCCCGGGGCUCAACCUCGGAAUAGCAUUUGAAACUGGCAGACUAGAGUACUGUAGAGGGGGGUAGAAUUUCAGGUGUAGCGGUGAAAUGCGUAGAGAUCUGAAGGAAUACCGGUGGCGAAGGCGGCCCCCUGGACAGAUACUGACACUCAGAUGCGAAAGCGUGGGGAGCAAACAGGAUUAGAUACCCUGGUAGUCCACGCCGUAAACGAUGUCUACUUGGAGGUUGUGGCCUUGAGCCGUGGCUUUCGGAGCUAACGCGUUAAGUAGACCGCCUGGGGAGUACGGUCGCAAGAUUAAAACUCAAAUGAAUUGACGGGGGCCCGCACAAGCGGUGGAGCAUGUGGUUUAAUUCGAUGCAACGCGAAGAACCUUACCUACUCUUGACAUCCAGAGAACUUUCCAGAGAUGGAUUGGUGCCUUCGGGAACUCUGAGACAGGUGCUGCAUGGCUGUCGUCAGCUCGUGUUGUGAAAUGUUGGGUUAAGUCCCGCAACGAGCGCAACCCUUAUCCUUGUUUGCCAGCGAGUAAUGUCGGGAACUCCAGGGAGACUGCCGGUGAUAAACCGGAGGAAGGUGGGGACGACGUCAAGUCAUCAUGGCCCUUACGAGUAGGGCUACACACGUGCUACAAUGGCGCAUACAGAGGGCGGCCAACUUGCGAAAGUGAGCGAAUCCCAAAAAGUGCGUCGUAGUCCGGAUUGGAGUCUGCAACUCGACUCCAUGAAGUCGGAAUUGCUAGUAAUCGUGGAUCAGAAUGCCACUGUGAAUACGUUCCCGGGCCUUGUACACACCGCCCGUCACACCAUGGGAGUGGGCUGCAAAAGAAGUAGUGUAGUUAACCUUCGGG
rnacentral:rRNA from 1 species